GUAGGUGGCAAGCGUUGUCCGGAAUUAUUGGGCGUAAAGCGCGCGCAGGUGGUUCUUUAAGUCUGAUGUGAAAGCCCCCGGCUCAACCGGGGAGGGUCAUUGGAAACUGGGGAACUUGAGUGCAGGAGAGGAAAGUGGAAUUCCACGUGUAGCGGUGAAAUGCGUAGAUAUGUGGAGGAACACCAGUGGCGAAGGCGACUUUCUGGCCUGUAACUGACACUGAGGCGCGAAAGCGUGGAGAGCAAACAGGGAUUAGAUACCCUGGUAGUCCACGCCGUAAACGAUGAGUGCUAAGUGUUGGGGGGGUUUCCCGCCCCUCAGUGCUGCAGCUAACGCAUUAAGCACUCCGCCUGGGGAUACGGUCGCAAGACUG
rnacentral:rRNA from 1 species